rnacentral:rRNA from 1 species
AGAGUUUGAUCAUGGCUCAGGAUGAACGCUGGCGGCGUGCUUAACACAUGCAAGUCGAACGAAGCACUUUAUUUGAUUUCUUCGGAAUGAAGAUUUAGUGACUGAGUGGCGGACGGGUGAGUAACGCGUGGGCAACCUGCCUCAUACAGGGGGAUAACAGUUGGAAACGACUGCUAAUACCGCAUAAGCGCACAGUACCGCAUGGUACAGUGUGAAAAACUCCGGUGGUAUGAGAUGGGCCCGCGUCUGAUUAGCCAGUUGGCGGGGUAACGGCCCACCAAAGCGACGAUCAGUAGCCGACCUGAGAGGGUGACCGGUCACAUUGGGACUGAGACACGGCCCAAACUCCUACGGGAGGCAGCAGUGGGGAAUAUUGCACAAUGGGGGAAACCCUGAUGCAGCGACGCCGCGUGAGCGAAGAAGUAUUUCGGUAUGUAAAGCUCUAUCAGCAGGGAAGAAGAAUGACGGUACCUGACUAAGAAGUACCGGCUAAAUACGUGCCAGCAGCCGCGGUAAUACGUAUGGUGCAAGCGUUAUCCGGAUUUACUGGGUGUAAAGGGAGCGCAGGCGGAAGGCUAAGUCUGAUGUGAAAGCCCGGGGCUCAACCCCGGUACUGCAUUGGAAACUGGUCAUCUAGAGUGUCGGAGGGGUAAGUGGAAUUCCUAGUGUAGCGGUGAAAUGCGUAGAUAUUAGGAGGAACACCAGUGGCGAAGGCGGCUUACUGGACGAUUACUGACGCUGAGGCUCGAAAGCGUGGGGAGCAAACAGGAUUAGAUACCCUGGUAGUCCACGCCGUAAAC